AUUGAACGCUGGCGGCAGGCUUAACACAUGCAAGUCGAGCGGGGGAAGGUAGCUUGCUACUGGACCUAGCGGCGGACGGGUGAGUAAUGCUUAGGAAUCUGCCUAGUAGUGGGGGACAACAUCUCGAAAGGGAUGCUAAUACCGCAUACGUCCUACGGGAGAAAGCAGGGGAUCUUCGGACCUUGCGCUCAUAGAUGAGCCUAAGUCGGAUUGGCUAGUUGGUGGGGUAAAGGCCUACCAAGGCGACGAUCUGUAGCGGGUCUGAGAGGAUGAUCCGCCACCCUGGGACUGAGACACGGCCCAGACUCCUACGGGAGGCAGCAGUGGGGAAUAUUGGACAAUGGGGGGAACCCUGAUCCAGCCAUGCCGCGUGUGUGAAGAAGGCCUUAUGGUUGUAAAGCACUUUAAGCGAGGAGGAGGCUACUUUAGUUAAUACCUAGAGAUAGUGGACGUUACUCGCAGAAUAAGCACCGGCUAACUCUGUGCCAGCAGCCGCAGUAA
rnacentral:rRNA from 1 species